rnacentral:misc_RNA from 1 species
GGAAAAUAGCUGAAAAUAUAAUAAAAAUAAAAUAUUACUCAACUGUGGUGAAUAAUACAAAAGAAUUGAUAAAGAACAUGAAAAUAAUUAAGCAAACACAUUAAUAAAAAAAAAUCCAACAAAUAUCAUCCAUCUGUACUAAUUCACUUUAUAACACCAAAACGGCAGUGAAUGCACCAGCAAGCAGAGAUCCGGCAAUCGCAAUUCUAUUCAAUCCGGCACCGUUUUCCGCUGGAACAGGAGCUUCGGAUGGCGUGCCAGAGAUUGAGGAAGGAGGGACAGAAGUUGUAGCAGGAGCCGGAGAAGGCAAAGAAGGAGGUGGAGAUGGAGGUGAAUCAGCAGUAGCUGGAGAUGGUGAAUUUGCUGGUGGAGUCUUCAAAGGAGAAGGCGCAGAUACUGGUGGAUUAACGGUUGGGGACGGCGAAGAUGCUGGUGGUGGAGUUGCCACAGGCGAUUUGGUCGGAGACGGUACAGGAGAGGAUGUUGGUGACUGUGCCAGUGAGGAUCCCAACAGCACCGCCAUUAGCAUCAAGAAAGCUAAGCUUGAACGAGCCAUUGCAAUUUCUUUUGAAGCAGAUAGAUAAUCACAGAGAACAGAGAGAGAUGAAGAGAAAAGGCCGAG